UUGCUCCUCAUAGCUACUCUUUGAUGUGCCUUCCUGCACCCAACAACCCGCAUCACCGUGCUGCAUCUUGGACAUCUCUGAUGGUUAAACCCCUGUCAAUACCAAAUUGUCUCAAAACUCCAGGACACAUCUGAGGGUAUUUCCACCAUGUUCCCGUUCACCUCAGCACAAAGUGACAGGAAAGUGGCUGGAAAGCACGGACAGACGCAAACCCUUGGAUUAAACCUAAGGAUGUGGAAAACAAUUGUUUUUCUCCAUUGGGCUGGUGAUAGCCCAACCUGUGCUGUCUUCUGUGUGACGCCUCUGGGCUGGCUCUGAGCAUCAAGAAAUGUUUUUGGGAGGGAGCAUGAGAAGAAGCUUCUAACUCUCUCUCUCURUAACUCCCAAGACUCCAUCAACAAUGCCAAUACAAGGUUUAAGAUCAGAUCCUUCUUGCCGCAAGGAAGCGGGAAUGCCAUAAAUUUGACCUUUGGAUAUUUGUAAGUACAUAUAAACCCCCUUGAGGAAUGAUAAUGUAUUUUUAGUAGCUUGCAAUGAUGUUCUGCAUGUAGGACUAGAAUUAUUCUGUGAGUUUUUAAGUUAUAUUGGACUGAAUUCAUCAGUAGAGACUAAAAUUUGGAGUGCAUGUGCUGUGGAGUUUGCCCUGCACCCACUGAGCCUAAUCAGUGAAGCUUUAUAACCAGACCCAGUGACUGCCACUCGAUCUCCUCAUCCGGAGCAUCGAAACAGGGGAGAACUGGUUUGCGGUCUGGCUGACAUCUAGUAUGUGGCUUUUGUCUGUGUCAUCUUGYGAAUGACAAUAAAUAUCAAAUAAUUCU